AUUGAACGCUGGCGGCAUGCCUUACACAUGCAAGUCGAACGGCAGCACGGGGCAACCUGGUGGCGAGUGGCGAACGGGUGAGUAAUGCAUCGGAACGUGCCAUUGAGUGGGGGAUAACGUAGCGAAAGUUGCGCUAAUACCGCAUAUUCUGUGAGCAGGAAAGCAGGGGACCGCAAGGCCUUGCGCUCUUUGAGCGGCCGAUGUCAGAUUAGCUAGUUGGUGAGGUAACGGCUUACCAAGGCGACGAUCUGUAGCGGGUCUGAGAGGAUGAUCCGCCACACUGGAACUGAGACACGGUCCAGACUCCUACGGGAGGCAGCAGUGGGGAAUUUUGGACAAUGGGGGCAACCCUGAUCCAGCCAUGCCGCGUGAACGAUGAAGGCCUUAGGGUUGUAAAGUUCUUUUACCCGUGACGAUGAUGACGGUAACGGGGGAAUAAGCUCCGGCUAACUUCGUGCCAGCAGCCGCGGUAAGGCGUA
rnacentral:rRNA from 1 species